GCCAAUGUAGCUCAGUGGUAGAGCACUUCCUUGGUAAGGAAGAGGUCCCGGGUUCAAAUCCCGGCAUCGGCU
rnacentral:tRNA from 3 species